CUUUUUUGCUUCUCUCAUGGCGACCAAUCUUGCCGUUUUCCAUCCCGCUCCGAUCAGAGCUUCUUCUUCUUCUUCUGGAAAAUCUGAACCUAAUCGCCGGAAGGCCGCCGCGCCAAAGUGGUGGUCGCCGAUCUUCGGCUGGUCAUCCGAACCGGACUACGUCGUUUCUUCCGCCGCGGAACAGUCGGUUCAGAAUGCCGAUCUGGAGCUCGACGGUGGAAGAACCAGAUCCAGAUUCGCGCCUGGAUGCUUCACGGAGGAGAAGGCGAAACUGCUCCGAAUGAAAACGCUGGAGAGCUCCACUUUUCACGACAUUAUGUACCAUUCGGCGAUCGCGUCGCGUCUCGCUUCCGAUUUGUCGGACCGAAGCAAGAAAUAGAUCUACGAAGUUUGGCGCAGUGAGGUAUUGUAUUGUGUUUUUGGAAAUCUGUAUCUGUACUGCCUUUUUCUGUAAAUCGUCGUAACGAAG
rnacentral:misc_RNA from 1 species